CGGGACACGUGGUAUCCUGUCUGAAUAUGGGGGGACCAUCCUCCAAGGCUAAAUACUCCUGACUGACCGAUAGUGAACCAGUACCGUGAGGGAAAGGCGAAAAGAACCCCGGCGAGGGGAGUGAAAAAGAACCUGAAACCGUGUACGUACAAGCAGUGGGAGCACGCUUAGGCGUGUGACUGCGUACCUUUUGUAUAAUGGGUCAGCGACUUAUAUUCUGUAGCAAGGUUAACCGAAUAGGGGAGCCGAAGGGAAACCGAGUCUUAACUGGGCGUUAAGUUGCAGGGUAUAGACCCGAAACCCGGUGAUCUAGCCAUGGGCAGGUUGAAGGUUGGGUAACACUAACUGGAGGACCGAACCGACUAAUGUUGAAAAAUUAGCGGAUGACUUGUGGCUGGGGGUGAAAGGCCAAUCAAACCGGGAGAUAGCUGGUUCUCCCCGAAAGCUAUUUAGGUAGCGCCUCGUGAAUUCAUCUCCGGGGGUAGAGCACUGUUUCGGCAAGGGGGUCAUCCCGACUUACCAACCCGAUGCAAACUGCGAAUACCGGAGAAUGUUAUCACGGGAGACACACGGCGGGUGCUAACGUCCGUCGUGAAGAGGGAAACAACCCAGACCGCCAGCUAAGGUCCCAAAGUCAUGGUUAAGUGGGAAACGAUGUGGGAAGGCCCAGACAGCCAGGAUGUUGGCUUAGAAGCAGCCAUCAUUUAAAGAAAGCGUAAUAGCUCACUGGUCGAGUCGGCCUGCGCGGAAGAUGUAACGGGGCUAAACCAUGCACCGAAGCUGCGGCAGCGACGCUUAUGCGUUGUUGGGUAGGGGAGCGUUCUGUAAGCCUGUGAAGGUGUACUGUGAGGUAUGCUGGAGGUAUCAGAAGUGCGAAUGCUGACAUAAGUAACGAUAAAGCGGGUGAAAAGCCCGCUCGCCGGAAGACCAAGG
rnacentral:rRNA from 1 species